GAUGAACGCUGGCGGCGUGCCUAAUACAUGCAAGUCGAACGCGUUGAGAGAAGUGCUUGCACUUUUCAAUUUGAGUGGCGAACGGGUGAGUAACACGUGGGCAACCUACCUGAUAGCGGGGGAUAACGAGUGGAAACAUUCGCUAAUACCACAUAACAAUAGAGAAGGCAUCUUCUUUAUUUAAAAGGCGCUUUCAAGCGUCACUAUCAGAUGGGCCCGCGGUGCAUUAGUUAGUUGGUGGGGUGAAGGCCUACCAAGACGAUGAUGCAUAGCCGAGUUGAGAGACUGAUCGGCCACAUUGGGACUGAGACACGGCCCAAACUCCUACGGGAGGCUGCAGUAGGGAAUCUUCCACAAUGGACGAAAGUCUGAUGGAGCAACGCCGCGUGUGUGAUGAAGGCUUUCGGGUCGUAAAGCACUGUUGUAUGGGAAGAAAUGCUAGGCUAGGAAAUGAGCUUAGUUUGACGGUACCAUACCAGAAAGGGACGGCUAAAUACGUGCCAGCAGCCGCGGUAA
rnacentral:rRNA from 1 species